rnacentral:rRNA from 1 species
GUCUACAGCCAUACCACCCUGAACAUGCCUGAUCUGAUCUGAUUUCAGAAGCUAAGAAGGGUUGGGCUUGGUUAGUACUUGGAUAGGAGAAAAAGAACAAAACA